UAAGAAGGAGCUUUAGAGCGGCUUAAUUUCGACUUAAGUAUUGGGUAAAGUAG
rnacentral:tRNA from 1 species